rnacentral:tRNA from 1 species
CGGUCAGGUGCAGCAGGCGACGCCGGCCGUGCACCUCGAUCAGGUGCUCGGUCGCGGCCCGGGAGGCCGACCGGUCGUCCACGCCGAUCGUGAUCGC